UGUGUAUCUGUGUGAGUGUGUG
rnacentral:miRNA from 1 species